rnacentral:rRNA from 1 species
UACGUAGGUGGCAAGCGUUGUCCGGAUUUACUGGGCGUAAAGAGCGCGCAGGCGGUCGUUCAAGCCGCGUGUGAAAGCCCCCGGCUCAACUGGGGAGGGUCACGCGAUACUGAUCGACUGGAAGGCAGGAGAGGGUAGUGGAAUUCCCGGUGUAGUGGUGAAAUGCGUAGAUAUCGGGAGGAACACCAGUGGCGAAGGCGACUACCUGGCCUGUUCUUGACGCUGAGGCGCGAAAGCUAGGGAAGCAAACGGG